CCAGCUGCCUCGUCUGGCCCUCCGCAGGGAGGAUUCGCUUUUGCGAGUCUAUGGGGGCUGGCAAACCCACGUUCCCGCAGCCAGGGAGGACCGUCGGGACAAGCGUCCCGCUUACGUGAGUCCUCUAUGUACACCGCAAGGAAGGUUGCUGUGGUGUAAGACUAAGUCUUCCCCACGGAGCCUUGGGUAGUAGCGCACCCACGAUCCUGAAGCCAAGGGUGAGACCGUCGGGAGAGCCGCCGAGGUACAUUUCCUCAACUCCCGCUUACGUGAGUCUCAUCUGGAUCUGACCGCCGGUUAGCAGGUAAGCCGUGCGGCAGAGACGUGGCGGUACAUCCACAUGCGCGGUCCCACCGUUGACAUAUGAACGGUACCACGGGCGGUCGAGUGUUAGCCCAGAGGGCGUAGCGAACCCUUGGCUCGACCAAUAAUGGGUAUGGACUCGUGGUGGCAGUGGUUGUGGCCAAAUGCUGGCAAGAGGGCUGGAUUAAGGAGGACAAAGUCCUCCGAGUGGCCUUCGGCGGGUGAGCAGCGUCCCACCUGCUCCGGAUACCGUCCCGGAAGACGGAAGGGCUUGGAAAACGCCCCGUUCGACCUGAGACGAUAAAGCCUCCUGCGGGCCAAUAAUCAAGGUAACCGGUACUGAGUACCGAGUGCGCUGGUUGGGCGUAUCCCAACUCCGAUGGCUUCUAGGGUUGCCCGGGCGCUGU